CCAGCAGCCGCGGUAAUUCCAGCUCCAAUAGCGUAUAUUAAAAUUGUUGCAGUUAAAAAGCUCGUAGUUGAAUUUCUGCUAAAAAUAACCGGUCUGCUUUUAAUAAAGGUGGUAUCUUGGUGUGUUUUUAGCAAUAAUGUCCUUUGAAAUGUUUUUUACUUCAUUGUAAUAAAUUAUAUUCAGGAUUUUUACUUUGAGAAAAUUAGAGUGUUUCUAGCAGGCUAAUGCUUUGAAUACUGCAGCAUGAAAAAA
rnacentral:rRNA from 1 species